rnacentral:rRNA from 1 species
UGGGGAAUUUUGGGCAAUGGGGGAAACCCUGACCCAGCAACGCCGCGUGAAGGACGAAAUCCCUCUGGGAUGUAAACUUCGAAAGUUGGGGAAGAAAUCCUGUCGGGGAAUAUCCGGUAGGGAUGACGGUACCCAACGUAAGCCCCGGCUAACUACGUGCCAGCAGCCGCGGUAAUACGUAGGGGGCAAGCGUUGUUCGGAAUUACUGGGCGUAAAGGGCGCGUAGGCGGCACAGCAAGUCGGGAGUGAAAGCCCGGGGCUCAACCCCGGAACGUCUUUCGAAACUGCUGAGCUCGAGUGCGGAAGAGGCAACUGGAAUUCCCAGUGUAGCGGUGAAAUGCGUAGAUAUUGGGAAGAACACCUGAGGCGAAGGCGGGUUGCUGGGCCGACACUGACGCUGAGGCGCGAAAGCCAGGGGAGCAAACGG